rnacentral:rRNA from 1 species
GACGAACGCUGGCGGCGUGCCUAAUACAUGCAAGUCGAGCGAAGUUUUUCUGGUGCUUGCACUAGAAAAACUUAGCGGCGAACGGGUGAGUAACACGUAAAGAACCUGCCUCAUAGACUGGGACAACUAUUGGAAACGAUAGCUAAUACCGGAUAACAGUAUUUCUCGCAUGAGAGACAUUUAAAAGUUGGUUAUGCUAACACUAUGAGAUGGCUUUGCGGUGCAUUAGCUAGUUGGUGGGGUAAAGGCCCACCAAGGCGACGAUGCAUAGCCGACCUGAGAGGGUGAUCGGCCACACUGGGACUGAGACACGGCCCAGACUCCUACGGGAGGCAGCAGUAGGGAAUCUUCCGCAAUGGGCGAAAGCCUGACGGAGCAACGCCGCGUGAGUGAAGAAGGAUUUCGGUUCGUAUAGCUCUGUUGUUAGGGAAGAAUGGAUAUGUAGUAACUAUACAUGUAAGAGACGGUACCUAACCAGAAAGCCACGGCUAACUACGUG